UACGUAGGGUGCAAGCGUUGUCCGGAUUUAUUGGGCGUAAAGAGCUUGUAGGCGGUCUGUCGCGUCUGCUGUGAAAAUCCGGGGCUCAACCCCGGACUUGCAGUGGGUACGGGCAGACUAGAGUGUGGUAGGGGAGACUGGAAUUCCUGGUGUAGCGGUGAAAUGCGCAGAUAUCAGGAGGAACACCGAUGGCGAAGGCAGGUCUCUGGGCCACUACUGACGCUGAGGCGCGAAAGCGUGGGGAGCAAACGGG
rnacentral:rRNA from 1 species